AUUGAAAAAAAAACAAUUUUCACAUCUCUACUUCAACGAACACGAAGUAUUACAGUAGGUACAAAAAAUUUAACUCAUAUUUUUAACACCAAAUUCAAAGGUUCACUGGAUAAAUGGUGACUUAUCGCGUUUUGGAAAAACGAUUGCGAUCUGCAACGUACGGAAAAGCUGGAUUGCGAGUAAAUAAAUAGGUAUUUUGGGUAGGUUAGGCAUUAAAUAGGUGAGAUACAACCUACAGAACACAAUGGCAUGAAAAACUCAAUUUUCAAAAAACUUGACUUAUCGACUUUUGGAAAACCGCCCUUCGUAUGUAAACAAACAUCUAGAGCCUCUGUCUGCUCAAGUCAUAAAGAUUUUUAAUUUAACUUGAAUGUUAUUUUCUGAAAUAUAAAACAAAUUAAUAGACCUAGACAGUAAUAAUGUUAAUAUAGGUACUUGAUCAAGUUAAAAAGAAUAAAUUAUGUACUCUUGAAUGUUAUUUUCUGAAGAAAAAACAACAAAUUAAUAGACAAUACCUAAUAGUAAUAUACUUAGAAAUGAAAAUUAUUCUUACCUACUCUCCAAUCUUUUUGUUGCGACCUUAGCCGUUGUGAAUAUCGCGAAUUUGUAUUUUAAAUAAAAAUAAAAUUUAGAUCCAACGCGAUUGUUUAGGUAAAAAUAGUGGGCUGUAAAAUAACGAUUAUUUAGGCGAUUACAAAUGUAUUUCGCCACAUCUCGCGAUAUUAAUUGCUGGCUGUGUCCAGAGCUAAAAGAUUGUUUUUUGUCAAGUCAUGAACUUGCAACUGAAAGUUCAUUCCUUGCAUAGUGUCAUUAGCUUUUUAUCCGUCACAAUAAAGACACUAUUGCAGUGAGGAAUAGACUUGAUGGUUUCUAUGACCUACUUGUCUUUCUUAUGUGAGGUACCUGCUCACCAGAUUUUUAAGAUGAAUAAUGAACUUUAGAUUCAGUUUAAAAAUUUAAUUUGAAUUAAUAUAAAAAUAAAAUACCCAAUUCUUAAAGAUUUAAAUAUUAUUUAAUUGGAUUAGAAGGGGGCGCAGAAAAGUAUGAAAACAUGAAAUAUAAUAUACAGGGGUCUGCAUAAGUUAGUAUUCAUAUUCAAAAACUGAUGCGUUCUUUUCAACACCCUGUUGUGUGUAAUGAGUAGAUGGAAGGUCUUGUACGUAGUGCGUUGUGUUCGUGGAAGUCCCACCAACAUUUUGGUAAUAAGGUUAAUAGUUUCAUUCCCCGCUAUGUCACUACAGAAAAAAAAAUCAUUUUUAUUUGAAAAAAUUGUCGGUUGUGCAAAUCGGAAUGCUAACUUAUGCCGACCCCUGUAUAAUAUAACAAUCGUGACAGUACAAAAAAUCGAUAUUAAUCAAACAUUGUAGACUGCUCUAUAUUCCUACAAGGAAGUGGUUUGGUGGCUGUUCCAAUUCAGUGCGUUUGAUUGGCUUGGAAACCAAACAAGACCAUCAAUGUAUCACUUCGCUAUAAAAACUAAAGAAAAAUAAAACAAAAAUUACUUACUUACUAUGAAAAUAUUAUAAAAAUAAAUUGUUGUUACUGAGAUCUACAUUGCCGUUUUUUUAUGAAAGGCAGAGGGCAGAUUAAAGGAGAUAUUAAUAAACAUCAUAGUAAAUUUGUUUAUCAAAAUUGUUAACAAGAUGUAUGACAUUCUUACCUCAACAACCUUCUGCACAAUUUUUCAGGAUGUGUCAAUGUACGCAUGCUCGCUGUUAUACCAAACAUCAUGUUGAAAGAUGUUUAAUGUGGGUGAGAACACUUAGUCUCCUAUGAAUUUGGUGAGCACUUCAGCAUACUCUUCUCGAUUCUCACCAAACCCUGCAAAUAAAAAAUUAAUACUUAAUAUUCCUAAUUUAAAAUCUUAUAAAUAAAUAAGUGCAGGACGUGGUAGUGCGGGUUGUCGCCUUUGUGGAUGGAAAUCACUGCGAAUGUAUUUCAGUUAGACUUUUCAGGUUGUGGGACAAUAGGCUGACAAGCAUUUUUCUGAGUGAGAUUACUAGGGUGCUAUGGCCACGACAUCUGUCGAAUCGGAAGAAAUAGUGGUGUUUUUAAAAUGCUUGAAAUCCUCCUCAUCAGCUGCUAACAGAACAUCACUUAUUCGUUCUGAAAAAAAUAGAUAUUUAUUAUUCUGUUACAAUGAUAUAAAAUAAUUUCACAAAUGAUGAGUAAGAGUUGAUUUGCAUGAUAAAUUGCUCCUUAUGGUUUUGUCCAGCAGUAUAUGCACCAAAUCGUAUGGCGAGCCAUCUAUCCCUUUGAAUUUUCUGGUUACAUCCGUUAUUGUGAAAAUUUUAUGUUGCUGGAGUUUCAUUAAUGAAAUGAAAUUGAGAUGGCUUGGGGGGAAUUUUUCCCAACGCCUUCACUUUAGCAAUUAAUGUCGAUCUAUGCUCCAUCAUUACUUUAUUGUACUGACUGCUUACACCCAAUGCCUGAAAAAUAUACUUUGUUGUCUUACCAUGCAAAUUAUUAUCUUAGAAAUUUUGAAGCUGUUCUAACACUUUAUUUUAGUAAUGAUUUUAAACUUCAAUUUAAUUUAAAAACAGCUCUGAUGAAAAAAAAAUACUUACAUCGUCUCUGUUGUGAUGUAAACUUUCUUUAUGUUUGACUGUCAAAAUACACGCUUUCAUAAGUUUGAGCCUAAGUGAUAUUGGAUUUGUAGGAACCUAUUACUUUGAACAAUGUAUGUUGUUAGGGGUCAUUCUCACAAAAUAAUUACUUGUCCCAUUAAAACCCAAGAAUAUACCAAGUUCAAAAGGUUUUCCAAUAUGGGAAGUAUCGAUUUUAUCAUACAAGAAAUUGAGCAAAUUGGUCACAACAAAGGAAUUAUUAUUGCUGUGCGGAAUAUACUUGAUGGUUUCUAUGACUGACUUAUCUUUCUCAUGUAAGGUACCUGCUUACCAGAUUUUUAAAAUGAAUAAUGAACAUUAGAUUCAGUUUAAAAUUUGAAUUUGUACCUAUUAGGUGCUAUAAAAAUAAAAUACGCAAUUCUUAAACAUGUAAAUAAUUAAUUGGAUUCCAAUUCAGUGCGUUUGAUUGGCUUGAAAACCAAACAAGAACAUCAACAUAUCACUUCCCUAUAAAAACUAAAGAAAAAAAAACAUAAGAUUACUUACCAUGAAAAUAUUAUAAAAAUAAAUGUGUGUUAGUAGUUUUCUGCUAAAUUGCAUCCUCCAAGAAGCAGGGUCCCCUCCAAAAAUCAUUUUUAGUGUCUCAAAAGCGCUAUUUUCAAUAACUGGUUUGUUCCAUUGAAGAACCCUUUUCCACACCACAUCUUGCAGUGGGAAAUUAGCGUUUUUGGUAAAAUUGGCAAUUUGCCCAAAGUUACAAUAGUAAUGGGUUACUGCGUUGAAAAAAAAUUUUCCCACAAUUUGGUGGGCCUUCCACAUAAAAAACAUUACAUUUAGGUAUUUUCUUGUCAAGAACCAUUAGUAAGUUCAUUAAAAAUUUUACUAUACUUUUGGUCGUUUCUAGCAGGGUUGGCAAGUAGACUAUAUAGUCUACUUUACACGCUUUGUCUACAUGUAAACAACAUUACUGUAGACAACUAUAGUUGACAUGUAGACAUUGUAGACUAUGUAAACUAUGGAAACUAGAAAGUAAAACUGUUUUCUGUUUUAGAAUAAAGCAUUUUUUACAUGGAUUUUGGCAGAAGAUUUUGAAAAUUUGCUGUUAAAAACCAAAGUGUUCAAAAAUGAGAUUCAAAAAACAUAUCUACUUGCAAAAAAGCAAUACUUUUCAGUUUUUGGCCAUUUUUGGCAGAAAACCAACUUUUGGAUAGGUAAUUCUUGAACAAAGUGAAAAUCUGUAGCAAUAUUGUCGAGCUGAAAAGUGAGGAUUUGAAUCUCUCACAAAGCAAAAGCUGACAAUUUCAGCAAAACACAGCAUUUUCCUAAUUUUUCACAAAAAAUGAGAUUUUUUUUGCAUUUCUUGGGUAAAAAAAUGAAACUCUUAAACAAUUUGUAUAAAAAAGUAAGUUUUUUUAAAAAGUUUUUGCAAAAAAUCAAAUUUUUCAGCAAUUUGGCUGAAAAACAAGAAUUUUUAUCAAUUUUUGAAAAAAAGCGAGUACUUUAUAUUUGACCACUUUAGGAAAGGAAAAAAACUUGAAAAAAACAAAACUGACAAUUUUAGCAGAAGUAGAUAUUGUCAAUUAUUAGUAAGAAAAUUAUACUUUUUCACAAUCUUUGUCGAAAGUACAAGACUUUUUUUCUUCAAUUUUUCAGUUAAAAAGUGAGGGUAAUUUUUUGCGAAAAAACGACAAUUUUUAACAAGAAGCGAGAUUAUUUGGGAAUACUUACACAACUUUGAAGUUGACAUACAUUACAUAGUAGACAAAGAUAUUCUACGCGUAGAGAACCAACCCUGGUUUCUAGUUGCCAGAAGAGGAGUCUAUCUAGGAGAAAUGUUGAUACAUCCAUUUUGUAGUAGUUCAUAAUAUGUUUAUCUGUACAGGUGAAGUACAAGUUGUCCUUGUUCAUCAUACAAGUUCUUGCGUGCUCAACUUGUUGUGGUGGUGCAUCAUCACCUAAUAAAGCGUCACACAUUCCAUUAGUAAAACAUAGUAUUGUAAAUUAAAUAACGAGAUGUGUGACAUUUUACCUCAAUGACUUUCUGUACUAUUUUUCUGGAUGUGUCUAUGUACGCAAUACGCAUGCUUGCUGUCAUACCAAACAUCAUGUUGGAAGAUGUUCAGCAUCGGUGAGAAUAUGUACUCACCUAUGAAUUUGGUGAGCACUUCUGGAUACUCUUCUCUAUCUUGAUCAAAACUUCCUCCUUCAUCACUUUUACCUCUUUCUGGAUUUCCUCCUCCAGCAGUUUGGCAUAUGCGCUAUUUUUGAGUUCUUCGCAUACCGGUAAACUGAGCGGAAGUCCAUCCGCUUCCACCCUUGAUUCCGUUCCUUCUUCUGGCACCAUGGUAUUCUUGGACUCCUUUGGAGGUAUUGCAGACAAUUUCUGAUGUGGAUAGCUGUGAUAGAUCGCGAAAUAGAUCUCCAUCCUGUAGCCUCCUCCAGUUUCUUCGAGCACCUUUCGAGUGGAACUACAGCGGCAUUGAUAAUUUUUGUAUCUGCAUAAAUGGACGAGGUGGAAGUGGGUGUUUUCUCUGUCGUGGUACUAUACCGCUGUGAAUGAGUUUUGACCAGACUUUUCAGGUUGUUUUGUAAGAGGCCAACAAGCUUCUUGCCCAGUGGCUGUGAUAAUGUCGUGUAGCCAUGUUCGUUUCCUAUCAAUGUUAUAUAAUCUUGUAAGAAAAGUUGCGGUGGCGUACCGUGUCUUAUGCUGUGUCUUGCCUUCUUCGCCACGUCGUCCAAUUUCUGCAAUUUCAAUGCGAUAGUGGCUGCCGUCGCAUCCCGUGACCAUUUGUUGAUCUGGACAGAAAUCUUGGAUUUGCUUCAGGAUUACGUGGUAAAUUGCUCCUUAUGCUUUGUCCAGGGUAGUAUAUGCACCACAUCAUAUGGUGAGCCAUCUAUCCCUUUGAAUUUUCUGGUUAUGUCCGUUAUUGUGAAAAUUUUAUGCUGCUUGAGUUUUGUUGAUGAAAUGCAAUUGAGAUGGCUUGGGGGAAUUUUUCCUAAGGCCCUCAAUUUAGCGAUUAAUGCCGAUCUAUGCUCAAGCACUACUUUAUGGUACUGACUGCUUAGUGCUCACACCCAAUGCAUGAAAAAUAUAAUUUUUUGUGUUACCAUACAAAUUAUUAUCUUAGAAAAUUUGAAGCUGUUCUAAUACCUUAUUUUAGCAAUGAUUUUAUAUUUCAAUUUAAUUUAAAAACAGCUCUAAUGAAAAAAAAUUGCUUACUUGGUCAUGGAAUCAUAUACGUUUUCAUUGUGAGUUGUAGAUCUUAUUGAUGUUCGAGCUGUCCUAGGGAAUCGUCUCUGUGGUUUCUACUCUGGUGACAUUCGCUUCAUAGGAGCCUAUUACUUGAACAAAGUAUUAUUUUGUGAGAAUGACCCCUAAGGUCAUUCUCACAAAAUAAUUACUUAUCCCAUUAAAACCCAAGCCAUUUACGCCCAUAAUUUUUAAAAUUAAAAUAUUUAAUAUAAGAAAGGGGAAAUGAAGAAGUGAAAUAAAUGAAUAGAAACUACGCCGUUUUAAAUAUGCCAUCAUUAAGGUUCAUCUGGAUGAAUUAUGGUUAAUGGAUGAUCUUGGACUUGUACCUGGAUUGCUUGAUCAGGCACAUGUAAAAAUAGAAAAAUAAAUAAGUAAAACUAAAACUCAAAAGUCAAAACACUAUAGAAAAUCUCCAUAAUGAAGUGACAACUUGAUUACAAAAAUAGCCCUUGUCAGUUCAAAGAGAAAUAGGGGUGGUGCUUUUCUCCACUGCAUAGUAUGAAUGCAUAAGUAUGUAGCCCUCCAAAAGUUUUUCUGAGAGUUACAAGAAUUACUCAAGUAAAUAACAAAAUCACUUUGAAGUUGUAAAUAACACAAAAAAAAAGUUUCAAAAAGAUAUAAUAUAGGUACAUGUGUGUACUGUGUAUCAAUAAUAAUAAUUUUGAAGUAAAUAUUCGAAACAUACUACACCUGUACAAAAAAACUACUUACUUAAUAUUUGAAUUUCAUGACCUUUUAAUUAUUAGAAAAAUGUUCUCAAAUGUUUUUAUUCAUUGUCGUUUUGUUUUUAUUAUUUUAAUCCAUCUUUUGAGUAUUUUGUUGGAACCAAGUUCAAAAUGCACAGCACAACAAAAAUGAAGUGAAUUCUUUCUCACAUCAUCAUAGUAAAUUUUUUAUUCACCAUAGUAUUCUUGAUAUCUCCAGGAGUAGUUAACUUGUUUUUACGCUGCCCUGAUUUGUGUAAUUUUUGCACAAUUUCAUUAAUAGAUGAAGGAUUAUCCUUUCUCUUAGGAUUAUCCUUUCAUUUAUAUGCUAUAUUAGUUACUAAAAAAAACUGCAGUAUGUUGAAAAUAAAAGCACUAAAAAAAGAGAGUAAACAGAAACAAUACCUUCACUUUACGUGCAAAAAGUUGGUAAAAAUACGGAUACUGUACGGUAGGUUAUUGGGAACUUUACCCUGAUUGAAAAGGCUUCCUUUUUGGUUGAUCCCAGGGUAGAAUUACUGUGUGUAGAAUUUUUAUCAUAAACUUUAAAACAUGAAAAAACAAGGUUGCUUACCUACUGUUGUAAAUUUAACUGUUCAAUGGUCACCUAUAGAGUGACACACAUUCCAUUGGUAACAAUAUAGUAUAUAGUUUUAGGUAAAUUAAAUCUAAAUGUGUGACAUUCUAACCUCGAUGACUUUCUGCACUAUUUUUCUGGAUGUGUCAAUGUAGGUGUGUUCACUAUGGUACCAAACAUCAUGUUGGAAGAUGUUCAGCAUUGGAGAGAAGACGUACUCACCUAUAAAUUUGGUGAGAACUUCUGGAUACUCUUCUCUAUCUUGAUCAAACCUUCUUCCUCUAUUGCUUUUACCUCUUUCUGGAUUUCCUCCUCCAGCGGUUUGGCAUAUGCGCUAUUUUUGAGUUCUUCACAUACGGGUAAACUGAGUGGAAGUCCAUCCACUGCCACCACUGAUUCUGUUCCUUCUUCUGGCACCAUGGUCUUCUUGGACUUGUUUGGAGGUAUUGCAGACAAUUUCUGAUGUGGGCUGCUGUGAUAGAUUGUGAAAUAGAUCUAACCAUCCUGUAGCCUCCUCCAGUUUCUUCGAGCACUUUUCGAGUGGAACUACAGCGGCAUUGAUAAUUUUUGUAUCUGCAUAAAUGGACGAGGUGGAAGUGGGUGUUUUCUCUGUCGUGGUACGAUACCGCUGUGAAUUAAGGAACUAAACUGUGAAUGAGUUUCGACCAGACUUUUCAGGUUGUUCCGUAACAGGCCGACAAGUGCUUACACCUAAUGCAUAAAAAAUAUAAUUUUUUGUGUUACUAUACAAAUUAUUAUCUUCUAAAUUUGAAGCUGUUCUAAUACCUUAUUUUAGCAAUGAUUUUAUAUUUCAAUUUAAUUUAAAAACAGCUCUAAUGAAAAAAAAUUACUUACUUGGUCAUGGAAUCAUAUACAUUUUUGCGGUUCCUUUUGUUGAUGUGUUGACUGUCAUAAUAAACACUUUCAUGUGUUUCAGCCAGGGUGAUAUUGGCUUCAUAGGACCCUCUUACUUGAACAAUGUAUGUUCGGGGGGUCAUUCUCACAAAAUAAUUACUUAUCCCAUUAAAACCCAAGAAUAUCUUGUAGAUAUAGCUAUUUGAGCUUCAUUUCGAGUAUCUCUUGGUUCUGUGUGAAUAUUUAAGAACACUGUAUAUUAGAUAACCUUCUGCCAAUUACAGGUCUACGUACCUUACCUAUUUACACUGAGGUAUAAUAAAAUUUCUCUAAUUCUGUUAUGAACUUCUAAAUAUUAUUAACUGCAAAGUACAUACCAUAAGCCCAUAUUUUAUGUUUGUAAAUGACCCACAAUUCUUAAAAUUAAAAUAUUUGAUAUAAGAAAGGGGAAAUGAAAAAGUGAAAUAAAUGAAUAGAAAUUACGCUGUCUUAAAUAUGCCACCAUUCAAGUUCAUCUGGAUGAAUCAUGGUUAAUGGAUGGUCUUGGACUUUUACCUGUAUUGCUUGAUCAGGUACAUGUAAAAAUGAAAAAAUAAAUGAAUAAAAGUCAAACUCAAAAGUCAAAACACAUCCCCAUAAGAAAUAGCCCUUGUCAGUUCAAAGAAAAGCUUUUCUCCACUGCAUAGUAUGAAUGCAUAAGUAUGUAGCCUAGCCUUCCAAAAAUUUUUCUGAAAGUUACAAGAAUGACUCAAGUAGAUAACAAAAUCACUUUAGUUGUACAUAAAUAACACAAAAAAAAAGUUUCAAAAAGAUAUAAUAUAGGUACACGUGUGUAUCAAUAAUAAUUUUGAAGUAAAUAUUGUAAACAUACUACACCUGUACAAACAAAACUACUUACUUAAUAUUUGAAUUUCAUGACCUUUCAAUUAUUAGAAAAAUGUUCUCAAAUGUUUUUAUUCAUUUUCGUUUUGUUUUUAUUAUUUUAAUCCAUCUUUUGAGUAUUUUGGCGGAACCAAGUUCAAAAUGCACAGCACAACAAAAAUGAAGUGAAUUCUUUCUCACAUCAUCACAAAGCUGUUUAGCUGUGAUAAUUUCAGUGGAAAAAACGUUUUAAUAAAAGUAAAAAUUUGUUCGAUGAGGUAUGUACUUGGAAGUGCUCUUAUGAGAAAUAAAGUUACCUCCUUUUCAAAAGCAAUUUAAUUUAUACUUUUUCAGGUACCCCCACUUCUUACUUUUUCACCCUCCAUCAGCCAGCAGGUUUUUCUGAUGAUGUCAUCUUGCUCGCAUGACAACUCACCGCCGCAUUGGCACGCAUGCGCUCAAAAAGGUGUUCCAUAUAGACCCCCUUAGUACUUGCAAGGUCUCUGGGAACUGGGAAGUUCCUUGUCAAGACUUUCUUUCUCUGUAAAAAUUUUAAAAAAAAUACAACAAAUAAAAAUUACUUACUAUGAACAUAUUUUUGAAACAUUCUGAUAUUUUUUUACUGGAUGGUAUUGUACUUUUUGAAAAAUUUCGAAGAGGCAACCAAGCGUUUAACCCAUUUGUUUGCACCUGAUCAUACUCGUUCUUAUUCCAAAUAAAUAAUAACAGUUAACCAGUUUUUUAAUCUUAAUUAUUUUUCAAUUUUAUAAUCUUACAUCAAUAUAAUGUAUAAUGUGGACAACGUCGUAGGGCAAUCUGUUCACUUCCUUAAACUUCCGUGUAAUAUCACUGAUGGUAAAAAUCUUGUGCUGUUUUAAUUUUGUUAGAGAUAUAAAGUCCAAGUGACUAGGUGGUAUUUUUCCCAAUGCUCUAACUUUUGAUAUUAGGGCUGCUCCAGGCUCCAUUACACCUUUAUUCAUUUUUUUGAAUCGCAAUUGAUUUAGGUAAAUUAAAUCAAAAUGUGUGACAUUCUAACCUCGAUGACUUUCUGCACUAUUUUUCUGGAUGAGCACUUCUGUAUACUCUUCUCUAUCUUGAUUGAACGUUCCUCCUCCAUCCCUUUUACUUCUUUCUGGAUUUCCUCCUCCAGCCAUUUGGUGUGGUACGCUAUUUUCGAGUUGUUUGCAUACUGAUAUACUGACUGAAAGUUCACCCUCUUCCACCAUGGAUUGCGUUCCUUCUUCAUGCACCAUGAAGACUCAUAAACAUUGAAAUCUAUAAUCAAUUCUCCAUGAUUAACCGGGAACUGAAAGUAACAAUUUAACAAAGUUAAUCAUUUGUAUGAGUUGGGUUUUUUCCAACGUCGUUAAUUCUGUUAAAAAGCUACUUACUUUCAAAGGUAUUGUUGUCUUCUACCCUCUUGGAGGCAUUGCAGACAAUUUCUGAUGUGGACGGCUGUGACAGAUUUUGAAAUAGAUCAAGCCAUCCGGUACCCGCCUCCUCCGAUUUCUUGGAGUGCUUUUUGGGUUAGUUCAGCCUUUGACUAUAUAUACAUGGACUGCUAUCUCAUACAUAGAUUAAAGGGAAUAGCGAAGCCAAAGCAAUAGAGGUACUUAAUCGGUGAUCUGGACUGAAAUCUUGGAUUUGCUUCAGGAUUACUUCCUUGAACAAGUCAAAAUUGUUGAUCUCAUGUUAAGAAAAGCAGAGACAGACUUCCUCCAUUCCAUCAUCACAACUACCUACAUUCUUUGCAGUACUCGCUGAUGCACCGGUUGAGGACUUGCACUUGUAGGAAGCUUACUAGGGUGCUAUGGCCACGACAUCCGUUGAAUCUUAAGAAAUGAGUAGUGUUUUUAAAAUGCUUGAAAUCCUCCUCAUCAGCUGCUAACAGAACAUCACUUAUUUGUUCUGAAAAAAAUAGAUAUUCAUUAUUUUUUAAAAAUGAUAUAAAAUAAUUUCACAAAUGAUAAGGUAGGUACGAGUUGAUUCAACUUACAUGGUAAAUUGCUCCUUAUGGUUUUGUCCAGCAGUAUAUGCACCACAUCAUAUAGUGAGCCAUCUACCUCUUUGAAUUUUCUGGUUAUGUCCAAUCUAUACUUUUUUCAGAUAACCCCACUCCUCACACUUUCUUCCUCCACCAGCCAGUGGGUUUUUCCAAUAACUUCAUUGCGCUUCACCGGUGCGCAUGCGCUCAAAGAGGUAUUUCAUACAGGUCCCCUUACUGUACUUGCAAGGUCUCUGGGAAGUUCCUUGUCAAGACUUUCUGUCUCUGUAAAAAUGAAAAAAAUACAACAAAUAAGAAUUACUUACUUACUAUGAACAUAUUUUUAAAACUUUUUAUAAUAUUGCGUUUUAGAAGGAAUUGGCAAUUUGAUGUGUAAUUGGGGUGGAAAAAUGGAUUUCAUUUCAACAUCAGCAGUGGUUUCCACGCUGCAAUUUUGUUAAACAUUUUCCAAUAUUAAUCACUUAUACUACAUUUAUUUUUAUUUUUCACAUUUUAUAUUAAAUUGAAGUAGGAUUCCUAAUUUAAAAAAAUGUGAGUAAAUAAGUAUAUACCAACCUACAAAUUAUGAUACCUUGGAUGUGAAUUCUACAGCUCUUUGGCGUGUUAUGAUCACCAUAUUUUCAGAUUGUUGUGGAAGUGGAUCUCAAACUAUAAACUAGAUCUAAUCUACACAUGGCUUCUGUCAAAAUAAUAAAUGUAAAACAAUUCAUAUGUACAAUCAACCUUCCUCAUAAUGAAACAUUGAAUUUCAGAAUGAUUAGCACGUUUUCUGCACAAUAAGGCAUCAUACACCUGCCAACUGCUAUCAUUCUACCAGCUACCAGUCUGAUAACAGUUAUUUUCUUUUAUUGGGGAGAUUUCAUAUUUUACAUAGGCAGCCAUUGUUGAAUAGAGGCCAUUAUUAAUAUAAUUGGCCAAUCAGUGUGAUUAUUCUACCAGUAGACAUCAUUUUUCUGAGUGUAAUAUAUUGAUGACAUAUUUUUCAAUUCUAAAGUAGGCAGCCAUCGUUUAUCUAUCACUCCUACUUAUAUAGCACUUGUUCAUGUAUUUAUUAUCUCACACAGCUGAGCUGUAUAGGUUGCAUAAUAAUGAACAUUUUUGUCAGUUUCUUGUAUUAAAAUGAUACAUUUAAGUAGAUAAUUGCAUAUUAAAAAAAAUAUCAAUCAGACUUUCUAUAUUACUAUCAAAUUUUCUUGAAAUCUCUUCAAUUACUGUCUCUUUAAACAAUGCUGGAUUCACUAUCCAGUGUUUGUCAUAACAUGGACAUAAGUAGUCACUGUGAAAAAAUGAAACUGUUAUUAAAAUUUGGGAUUACUCCCUUGAACAAGUCGAAAUCGUUGAUCUCAUGCUUAGAAAAACAGAGACAGACUGCCUCCAUUCCAUCAUCACAACUACAAACUUUGCAGUACUCGCAGAUGCACCCAUUGGGGGCUUGCACUUGUGGGAAACUUACUAGGGCACUACCACCACAACAUCUGUCAAAUUGGAAGAAAUGAGUGGUGUUUUUAAAGUGCUUGAAAUCCUCCUCAUCAGCUGCUAACAGGACAUCAGUUAUUCGUUCUGAAAAAAAUAGAUAUUAAUUAUUUUGAAAAAAUGAUAUAAAAUAAUUUCACAAAUGAUAAGCACGAGUGGAUUCAACUUACAUGGUAAAUAAUUACUCCUUAUGGUUUUGUCCAGCAGUAUAUGCAUCACAUCGUAUGGUGAGCCAUCUAUCCCAUUGAAUUUUCAUGGUUAUGUCCGGUAUUGUGAAAAUUUUAUGUUGCUUGAGUUUUGUUAAUGAAAUGAAAUUGAGAUGGCUUGGGGAAAUGAUUUUUAACACCGUCCACUUUAGGGAUUAAUGCUGAUCUUUGCUCCAUCACUACUUUACUGUACUGACCGCUUACACUCGAUGCCUGAAAAAUAUACUUUUUUGUGUUACCAUACAAAUUAUUAUUUUAGAAAAUUUGAAGCUGUUCUAACACCUCAUUUUAGCAAUGAUUUUAUACUUCAAUUUAAUUUAAAAACAGCUCUGAUGAAAAAAAAAAUUACUUACUCCUAACUCCUGCGUGCUUAACUUAUUAUGAUGGUGCAUCAUUACCUAUAAGAAGUAUCAUACGUACAUUCCAUUAGUAAAUCAUGGUAGUUUAAAUAAUGUGUAACGAGAUGUGUGACAUUCUUACCUCAAUUACUUUUUGGACUAUCUUCCUGGUCGUAUCUAUGUAAGCGUGUUCGCUUUCAUACCAGACGUCGUGGUUGAAGAUGUUGAGGGCUGGUGAGAAGACGUACUCACCUAUAAAAGAGGUGAGCACUUCUGCAUAAUCUUCUCGUUCAGUUAAAACCCAAGAACAUCUUGUAGAUAUAGCUAUUUGAGCUUCAUUUCGAGUAUCUCUUGGUUCUGUGUGAAUAUUAAAGAGCACAGCAUUGAAUAUCCUUCUACCAAUUACAGGUCUAGGUAGUAGGUACCUAUUUACACUGAGGCAUAAUAAAAUCUCUUUAAUUCUGUUAUGAACUUCUAAAUAUUAUUAACUGCGAAUUAUGUACCAUAAGCCUAUAUUUCAUGAUUGUAAAUGGCCCAUAAUUCUUAAAAUUAAAAUAUUUAAUAAUACAAGAAAGGGGAAAUGAAGAAGUGAAAUAAAUGAAUAGAAAUUACGCUGUCUUAAAUAUGCUACAAUUCAGGCUCAUUUAGAUGAAUCAUGGUUAAUGGAUAGUCUUGGACUUUUACCUGGAUUGCUUGAUCGGGCACAUGUAAAAAUAAAUAAAUAGAUGAAUAAGAGUCAAACUUUGAAAGUCAAAACACUAUAGAAAAUCCCCAUAAUGAAGUGAUAACUUGAUUUCAAAAAUAGCCCUUGUCAGUUCAAAGAAAAAUAGGGGAGGUGCUUUUCUUCACUGCAUAGUAUGAAUGCAUAAGUAUGUGGCCCUCUAAAAGUUUUUCUGAGAGUUACAAGAAUUACUCAAGUUGAUAACAAAAUCACUUUGAAGUUGUAAAUAACACAAAAAAAAAGUUUCAAAAAGGUAUAAUAUUAGGUACAUGUGUGUAUCAAUAAUAAUUUCUAAGUAAAUAUUGUAAACAUACUACACCUGUACGAAAAAAUUACUUACUCAAUAUUUGAAUUUCAUGACAUGACUUGUUUGGGGAUUUGUUGAGGAAAUGGUGAGGAAUUGGUGUAAAUAUUGGGAAUUGGAUUUGAAAACUAUAAAAAAAAUUUGGAUGGCAUACCUAGGUACCUAGGGGUUGAGAGGAAUGUUUUUGAAAAAUUGGUGCAAAUCAGACCAGUAAUUGAAGCUGGUGAACUUUGAAUGAGUUUUCACAGUAAUCUUUUAAAUACCUAUGAAGAAAUAUUGUGACUGAGUUUUGCUAUAAAAACUAAAGAAAGAAAAACAAAAAUUACUUACCAUGAAAAUAGUAUAAAAAUAAAUGUGUGUAUCCAUUGUAUUUAUCUUCAAUUGCGUUUUUUAAUGCGAGGCAGAGGGCAGAUUAAAGGAGAUGCACUUCUCAAUUGCAUAUUAGUCGAAUAAUUUUUUAUUUCACAACAUUUUUUCGGACAAUACUUGAAUCUGAAGUUUGUUUUAGUGAAUGAAACCAUUCAACACACCAAACAAAUGUUAGUAUCGAAGUAAUGUAAAGUACAUAAAUGGCUGCCACUUGGAGGACUGAAACUCUGAUAGUACCUGUAUCCUACAUUUUCUAUAUUUGGUUGUAGGUAUGUCUUGACUCAUAAGAAGUUUGAUCACACAACACAACACAACAAAAAUGAAGUGAAUUCUUUUUCACUUCAUCAUAUAAUUUCAGCGGAAAAAAUGUUUUAAUGAAAGUAAGAAAUUUUCUGAUGAGGUCUGUACUCUGAAGUGCUCUCAUGAGAAAUACAGUUGCCUUCUUUUCAAAAACAAUUUAAUUUAUACUUUUUCUGGUACCCCCACUUCUCACUUUUUCUCCCUCCACCAGCCAGCAGGUUUUCUGAUGACGUCAUCAUGCUCACAUGACGGUGUUCCAUAUAGGCCCCCUUAGUACUUGCAAGGUCUCUGGGAACUGGGAAGUUCCUUGUCAAGACUUUCUUUCUCUGUAAAAAUGAAAAAAAAAUACAACAAAUAAAAAUUACUUACUAUGAACAUAUUUUUGAAACAUUCUGAUAUUUUUUUACUGGAUGGUAUUGUACUUUUUGAAAAAUUUCGAAGAGGCAACCAAGCGUUUUACCCAUUUGUUUGCAGCUGGUCAUUCUCGUUCUUAUUCCAAAUAAAUAAUAACAGUUAAUCAUUUUUUUAAUCUAUAUUAUUUUUCAAUAUUAUAAUCUUAGGUAUAUCAAUUUAAUUUAUAUACAUACAUCUUAGUCUACUUACUUGUUGUUCCAUUAUUUUCUCAUAAUCAAAUACUGAUGUUGAUCGAGUCUUCUACAGAGUAAAAAGAGAAUAGAAAAACUCAUUCAGAUCUGGUAAAAAAAAAUCAAAUACUUGUAUAACAAAAAAAAAUUUAGAACUGAUUUAGAAUGAUGGAAAGUAAAACUUUCACUUACUCUCCAUUGAGUCAACAUUUUCAACCAAUAAGAUUUGCCAAAUUACAUUAAUACUUUCUUCAUAUGACAAGGUCAUUGUUCUACUAUACAUUGUACACACAUUUUGCAUAUACAUAACUAAAAAUGAAUAAAAUGACAAUAUUAAAAUAAUUGUAAGAUAAAAUUACUGUGCAUGGAAUUUUAAUCUUGAACUUGAAAACAUGAAAAAAAAAUGUAGGUACUUACUGUAAAAUUGUUUGACCCUCCAUUAAUUGCAUAAUCUAAUGUUCGGUUACUCUUGUAUGUUCUGCAGUAUGUAAAAAAUUGAUUUGGUAAUUAGUAGGACUUGGUAAAAGGAUAGAAUUGGGCAAUCUAUUAAAAUAUCCCAUUAAAACCCAAGAAUUUGUCUUUCUUAUGUGAGGUACCUGCUUACCAGAUUUUUAAAAUGAAUAAUGAACUUUGAAUUCAUUUUAAAUUUUUGCUUUGAAUUAUGUAGGUACUAUAAAAAUAAAAUACACCAUAGGUAUAGUAUAACAAUAGUGAUUGUACAAAAAAUUGAUAUUAAUCUAACAUUGUAGACUGCUCUAUUUCCUACAAGGAAGUGGCUUGGUGGCUGUUCCAAUUCAGUGCGUUUGAUUGGCUUGAAAACCAAACAAGAAAAUCAAAGAAUCACUAAAAAAAAAAAAAAUUAAUUACCAUGAAAAUAUUGUAAUUUAAUAAAAUGUUGAAUGAUCACUAAUAUCACUAUACAUAUAUACUGAAUGAAAUUCGCUGAAAUUUGAGUACGUUAUACUUAAAAGUAUUCCUGAGAGAAGUUGACAUUGUUGUUUAACGGUUUUGGACAAAAUGCCUUAUGCUUAUGGAACCCGGAAUUCAUUUUUUUAUUCAUUUUGUGGUGGAAAAUUAUUCACUUCUUUGGAUAGAUACUAUAUAUACUUGCUUCUAUCAGUUAAAUUUGCAUUAAAAUGAUGGGGUCCGGAAUUACAAUGUUUGAUAGUAGGAUGAGUUGGUCACAUUUUCAUGCAAUUUUUAGAAUCAGGUUGCUCUAAAGAUGAAUUUUCUGUAGAUAGGGUCUCCUGUGGCAAAUUUUGUCCCAAUAUUCGAAAGUAGGGCUAUUUAACCCGUGUUCUAUUUUAUAGGAAAAAUUAUUGAAAUUUAUACCCAAACAUGGAUCUCAUUGCAUUGUCAACUACCUACAUUCCUAUCGUAACAUAAGAGUACCUAAGUACCUAUUCUAUGUAUGUAUGUACUUAUAAAUUUGGUUUAAAAUCACAUUCAUUGUUGAAAAGUGUCUAGUAUAUAAUCUGUUAGGUACCCUUACAUGGCAUAUUAAUGAUAUUUUUCACAAAUCUAAUCUUGUUUUCUUCCAUUGGUGCAAUCUACAUGCGACCAUUUGGAGGUCUGCAGUGUACCCAUAUUUUAAUAUGUAUUCAGCUGUCCAGAUAUAAUAUUUGUUAUUGUGAUUGUUUUUAAUCUAUGUAGGUGUGUUUCAUUAUUAUUACCUACUUUAAUUCCGGUAUAAUGACCAAUAUUUUUUUUAUUGUUAAGCAGCAUUCAAUUUUCUUAAAGUUGUAUUCUUCGAUAUUGAAUAAAAUAUCUACUUUUAUAUAUUUGUACCUACCUACUUACGUUUUUAAAAUUUAUUACUCACAGCUGCGAUUCGUUUUACUGGAUUCUUAAUUGUAUAGGUAUGUUGUACGUUGUUUUAAUUCAUUACAUUUUUAAAACUGAA